rfam:Triticum aestivum genome assembly, contig: Triticum_aestivum_CS42_TGACv1_scaffold_689900_T_7BS-0.166721_2AL-0.102919
CCUACGGUUCUUUUUGGAACCAUUGAACUUUUUAGUAUUCUUAGAGU